CCAAUAGCGUAUAUUAAAGUUGUUGCAGUUAAAAAGCUCGUAGUUGAAUUUCGGGGUUAGUAGGUUGGUCAUGCCUCUGGUAUGUACUGGUCUCACUGAUUCCUCCUUCCUGAUGAACCGUAAUGCCAUUAAUUUGGUGUUGCGGGGAAUUUGGACUGUUACUUUGAAAAAAUUAGAGUGUUUAAAGCAAGCUAACGCUUGAAUACAUUAGCAUGGAACAAUGACAUAGGACGUUCGAUCCUAUUUUGUUGGUUUCUAGGAUUGACGUAAUGAUUAAUAGGGAUAGUUGGGGGCAUUAGUAUUCAAUUGUCAGAGGUGAAAUUCUUGGAUUUAUUGAAGACUAACUACUGCGAAAGCAUUUGCCAAGGAUGUUUUCAUUAAUCAAGAACGAAAGUUAGGGGAUCGAAGACGAUCAGAUACCGUCGUAGUCUUAACCAUAAACUAUGCCGACUAGGGAUCGGAUGAUGUUAAUUUUUUAAUGACUCAUUCGGCGCCUUACG
rnacentral:rRNA from 1 species